rnacentral:lncRNA from 1 species
CCCUGUUUUUUCUACUACUCUUCUAAUUUUCAGAAAAAUAUUAUUCUUGCAAUUAGAGAGCUUAUGAGACAACGAAUAAAGAAUUAAAGAGCAGAGAAUCGCGAGAGGACUGUAGUGGAAUAUACAAAAACGUUGUUCAAGAGGACAUUUUUAAUUGCAAAUCUCUCUCAGUUCUCAAGUAGAAGCCGAUGAUACAACGUGUAAAGUCACUUUGCUACGUUGUUGAUAGGUCGAUGAACUUAAGACGAGAAUAACCAUCCUUCCAAGCAGAUCUUGCAGCUAACCUUGAGGUGUCUGAGUAUCUUCUUCCGAGGACCAAUCUCUCCCAAUUUUCAAUAGCCGCUCCAAACGAUCUUCUUAAAAUUUGUUCGAACUCUAAGCUAAUUGAGGGACAUAGCACAAGCAGCCGUUUGUUCGCACAAAAAGACGAGAAAAAUACAAGGAACGAUAUACGACGUCUGUGUUCAUUUAGAAGACUUCGUAAUGAUUUUCCAGACGUUUAUGUUUAGCAGCAUAUUAUUCCAUUGGAGUUCAAUUUUAUUCGCGACUGAACAUGUCCGUUGUAAACGGCACGAAACAGUUGGAAAGCUAACUAAUUCCUCUUGCAAAACUGAAGCUGAAAGAUGGUGAUCCUGAUGACAAUCGAUGGAGGAUGGAACAUUAAAGGAACUAUUUAUCCGCGAGUAUUUUUACCGAAGAUUGGGACCAAAGGAACCAACCAAAGGAAUCGCUUGUUAACCGGUUACCGCGUAAGGAGGAUCGUUAUUAACGGUGCAGCUGAACCAAUUACUUUUGAGCAACGUGCACAGCGUUAAAUGGAGAUCGACACGGUCCUCUCUGAUCGUUGCAGUUCGUCAUUAACGUUUGCACCAACGAUUACUCGCAGCAAGGUCAAUAGCACGACGAGCGGAACGUGUUUAUGCGUUCCUGAGACUCUCUCCGCUCAGAAACCGUGAAGAAGAAAGUUUCGUGGUCCGAAUGUUCUACCAAUCCAUCGUUCGAUGUUUCUGUUAUCAUUAUCGAAUUCUUCGCUUCCUAUCAAGUCUAUGCAACGACGAUUCUUAGUCUCCGAAAAUAGUUUUCUUUUUAGAGUAUCUUCAAAUUAACUCUGAACUAUUACCGUGAGGUGCUAGAAGUCCUAGAGUACUGUAGAAUCACCAGAAUUAUCAUAAUCUUGCUCUGAAGUGAAAUACGACUCUAACUACCUCUGUAAUCUUCGAUUAAGUGUUGUAUAGUCAUUGUAAUUUAUAAGUUCAGAUAUAAAUCUUCCAGUAGAGUAUCUUCAAAUUUCA